CAGAACUGGCGAAAAGCGCGCGGCGGCGGUCCAGUGGCCGCAGGAGCCUGGCGUUAAGGAUUCUUUUCCCUCCUAACAGGUUCCUGCGUUAGCAGCCGUGAGGUGGUCUCCAAGUUGGAGCCAGGAAUAAAGCUGUGGUGGUGGAAGAAGCCCUCAGCCUGAGCCUCUCAGGUCCGUCAGCGCCUUCUAAGUCGGAGGCUGGGACUAGGAGGAGUCAGCGGGUGUGCUGCGCGCUUCUCCCGGUUCCUCCUGCGCUCCCGGUCUUGAGGAGAGUUGGUUCAGGCAUCUGCAGUCUCCAUGAUGCCCACAACAGCCAGAGCCAGACCAGGGUGAGGCCUAGAUCCUGAAACUCCAUUCCUGUCUCUCUCAUGCACGGAAGAGACUCAGGCAGAGUUACAGAGAGGCAAAGGCAGAGAGAGAGAAGUCUUCCAUCCACUGGUUCACUCCCAAAAUGGCUGUGGUGGCCAGAGCUGGGCUGAUCUGAAGCCAGGAGCCAGGAGCUUCUUCCAGAAUAAGCCUAAUGACUGAAAGGAUAUACUGGAUUUGGAGACUCGACCAGGACAGCACUGUGAUCAUCUCGGAUUGUGAGGCAGCUACAUGUAGCCUGUGAGCAGUGCAUGAUGACAAAGAUGUGGAGGCACCCUGUGGUGAGCUCCUUGUAUGUAUGUCAGUGUCUGCUACUUUAGAUCCACUCAUGUGUGAGCUCUGCUGAAAGGGAAGUACUCUGUAGUCAACUGGAACUCAUUCAGCCAAAACCUUGAUUUUGCAUCCCUACUACCUAUUGACUGGACUUCCAUGUGCAUAUUUUGAGCUUAAUUAUACCUCUAUUAUCUCAUUUCAGAUAGUGAAAACUAGAUAAAGAGAGUAUAGAUUAUUAUCAAUGAUCAUUGUUACUAAGCAGCCAAAUAUGAUUUAAACUAAGAUCUGGGGCAGGUGUUUGGCCUGGUGGUUAAGAUGGUACCUGGGACACCUAAAUCCCAUGCUAGAGUGUCUAAGUUUGCAUCUUACUUCACUCCAAAUUCCAGCUUUCUGCUGAUGCACAGCUGUCAUUGAUUUCUCACCACCCCAUUUGGAGACCUGAAUUGAGUUCAUGGCUCUGAGAUACAGCCUGGUCCAUCCCUGGCCAUUAUAGUCAUUUGAAGAGUGAACCACCCAAUGGGAUUCCCUCCCUUGCUCUAUCUGAAGCUCUCUGUCCCUCAAGUGGAUUAAUAUAAUUUUAAAAAUACAAAAAUUAAGGUCUGUUUAGCUUUCUAAAAAUAUGUAUUUAUUUAUUUUUAAGUCAGUUACACAGAGAGAGUGAGACACAGAGAUCUUCUAUCCACUGGUUCAUUCACCACAUAGUCACAAUGGCUAGAGCUGGGCCAGUCCAAAGCAUGGAGCCAGGAGCUUCUUACAAGUUUCCCAUGUGGGUGCUUGGGCUGCCCUCUACUGCACUCUGAGGUACGUUAGCAGGGAGCUGGAUCAGAAGUGGGGCAGGUGGCAGCUUAACCUGCUAUGCCACAAUGCCAUCUGUUUAAUUUUUAAACUUGAGUUGUUUGGGGACCAUAGGUAAGUCUUAAAAGUACCCAAAGUGUUAAUUUUAAAAAGCUGUGGAUGUAGUUGAAAAGCUGGAAAUUAGAAGACUAAGCACAUUGAUCUAUAUAAGAUCAGCAGCUGCAAAGGAUGAUAGGCUGAAUGAACCAUCAACUUCUCUUGACUCUUGUUAAAAUUUUUAGCUGGAGGGGUCUGUGCUGUGGCACAGUGGGUUAAUGCCCUGGCCUGAAGUGCCAGCAUCCCAUAUGGGUGCUGGUUUGAGACCCGGCUGUUCCACCUCCAAUCCAGCUCUCUGCUAUGGCCUGGGAAAGCAGUAGAAGAUGGCCCAAGUCUUUGGGCCCCUGCACCUGUGUAGGAGACCUGGAAGAAGCUCCUAUCUCCUGGCUUGGGAUUGGCACAGCUCUGGUCAUUGUGGCCAACUGGGGGAAUGAACCAUCAGAUGGAAGAUCUCUCUCUCUCUCUCUCUCUCUCUCUCUCUCUCUGCCUUUCUCUCUGCCUCUUCUGUGUAACUCUGACUUGCAAAUAAAUAAAUCUUAAAAAAAAUUUAGCUGGAAAGACAAUUGACACCUUUUUUUAAAUUUGAGACAGGGAGAUAAGAGAAACAGAAACAGAGAAGUCUCCCACCUUCCAGCCCAACUUACAUAUAAAUUUCUGCAGUGCACAGGCCAAGGACAGGAAACACAGUUCUUCUCUUCCAUGUAAGUGGCAGAGACAGAAUUAAAUGAGUCCUAACUUGGUGUCUCCUGGGAUGCACAGUAGCAGGAAGCUGGAGGUGGGAGCCAAGCCAGGAUUUGAACCUAGGUAGCUAAUAUGGGACAAGGGCAUCUUAAACCUAUAUCUUAAUCACUAGAGCAAUCACUAGAUCAAAUGCUCAAACUAGAUCCACAAUCUCAGGAGGCCAGAAGUAUCAUUUAUGGUUUAUAUUCUUAUGACAGUGAAGAGAAUCAGGAUGCAGGGAACUGUAAAAUCCAAAAAUAACAAGGAUGAUCUCUGUAGUGAGAUGUCAGAGUCAUAUUGUAAAUCCUGUACCAGAGAGAACCAAAUCACUCCUCCCUCUGUAACUCUGGAGGCCUCUUAGUCAAAGUCAGUUUCUCCCAAUGGGAGCUUCUAGUCAGGUUUGCUCUUGCCCAUAUUAUCCAACAGCUCAGUGAUCCUGCUAAAGUGCUUUGUUGUGGGACAUUCUCUUUGAUACUUCCCUCUCUGAAUUAAAAAAUGACAAGGCAAUGGACGCCUUAUGUAUUACUCCUUUACAAAGAGACCUGAGGUGUAUAAGGCAGGGGACCUUGAUAUCAGGCAGUCAGAAAGGCUCAUUUACAAAUUAGGGAUCGAUGUAAAUAUUGAGGUCUAUUGGAUUUAAAAAAAAAAGAAAAUUUAUUUGAAUGUCAUUUACAGAGAGAGAGAGAGACAGAGAGAUCUAUACACUGGUUGACUCCCCAGAUGGGUGCAAUGGCCAGUGGUGAGUCAGGCUGAAGUCAGGAGCAAUUCUAUUGGGUCUUCUAUUGGGUCUUCCACGUGGGUGGCAGGGGCUCAAGCACCUGGGCAUCUUCUGCUGCUUUUCCUAGGCCAUUAGUAGAGAGCUGGAUCAGAAGCAGAGCAGCUGGGACACGAAAUGGCACCCAUAAGUGAUGUCAGCAUAGCAGGCAGCAGUGCUAUCUGCUACCCCACACCACCAGACCCAAAGAUACUGCUUUUGGAUGGAGAUUCUUCUGGGCAUUUUAUUCCCUGUCUGCCCCACCCUUUAUUCUCUUACACAUAUGUUCCAGGUAGAUUAUGUUUAGAAGAUAAUCCUACUAUAAUUUAUUUCUAGUAAGGAUUGUUUAUCAAGAUUAAUAAAUGUUAAUGGUUUUAAGAACUUUGGAUUACAUGCAACUGAAAGACCAUGUUAUAAAGAAUUGGGUACUAUGUUAAACACUUGGCAUGUGCUAAGAAUUAAUAAAGUAACCUAACAUGCAAUGAUGAAAUUAAGAAUCCAGCAAAGAUAAUAAAAGUCUGGGUAAACCUAAAAAUGCAUGUAGA